CCUACGGGGGGCAGCAGUGGGGGAUAUUGCACAAUGGGGGGAACCCUGAUGCAGCGACGCCGCGUGGGUGAAGGAGUGCUUCGGCAUGUAAAGCCCUAUCGGCAGGGAAGAAGCAAGACGGUACCUGACUAAGAAGCCCCGGCUAACUACGUGCCAGCAGCCGCGGUAAUACGUAGGGGGCGAGCGUCAUCCGGAUUCACUGGGUGUAAAGGGAGCGUAGACGGCCAUGCAAGCCAGGGGUGAAAGCCCGGGGCCCAACCCCGGGACUGCCCUUGGAACUGCAUGGCUGGAGUGCGAGAGGGGCAGGCGGAAGUCCUGGGGUAGCGGUGAAAUGCGUAGAUAUCGCGCAGAACUCCGAUUGCGAAGGCAGCAUGCCGGCGCCAAACUGACGCUGAAGCACGAAAGCGUGGGUAUCGAACAGGAUUAGAUACCCCUGUAGUC
rnacentral:rRNA from 1 species